rnacentral:rRNA from 1 species
GGGUGAGUAACGCGUGGGUAAUCUACCUUCGAAUUGGGGAUAACGUUGCGAAAGCGACGCUAAUACCGAAUAACAUCCAUUAAUCUUCGGGUUUUUGGAUCAAGGGUGGCCUCUACAUGUAAGCUACUCUUUGAAGAUGAGCCCGCGUACCUUUAGCUUGUUGGUGGGGUAAUGGCCUACCAAGGCAGCGAUGGUUAGCUGGUCUGAGAGGAUGAUCAGCCACACUGGAACUGACACACGGUCCAGACUCCUACGGGAGGCAGCAGUGAGGAAUUUUGCGCAAUGGGGGAAACCCUGACGCAGCAACGCCGCGUGAGUGAUGAAGGCUUUCGGGUCGUAAAGCUCUGUCAAGUGGGAAGAACCUGCAGUAUGCCAAUAUCAUAUUGCACUGACGGUACCACUGAAGGAAGCACCGGCUAACUCCGUGCCAGCAGCCGCGGUAAUACGGGGGGUGCAAGCGUUAUUCGGAAUCAUUGGGCGUAAAGAGCACGUAGGCGGCCUGGUAAGUCAGAUGUGAAAGCCCGGGGCUUAACCCCGGAAGUGCAUUUGAUACUGUCAGGCUUGAGUAUGGGAGAGGGAAGUGGAAUUCCUGGUGUAGAGGUGAAAUUCGUAGAUAUCAGGAGGAACACCGGUGGCGAAGGCGACUUCCUGGACCAAUACUGACGCUGAGGUGCGAAGGCGUGGGUAGCAAACAGGAUUAGAUACCCUGGUAGUCCACGCAGUAAACGUUGUUCACUAGGUGUAGCGGGUAUUGACCCCCGCUGUGCCGCAGUUAACGCAUUAAGUGAACCGCCUGGGGAGUACGGCCGCAAGGUUAAAACUCAAAGGAAUUGACGGGGGCCCGCACAAGCGGUGGAGCAUGUGGUUUAAUUCGACGCAACGCGAAGAACCUUACCUGGAUUUGACAUCCCGGGAAUCCUAUCGAAAGACUGGAGUGCCCUUCGGGGAGCCCGGAGACAGGUGCUGCAUGGCUGUCGUCAGCUCGUGUCGUGAGAUGUUGGGUUAAGUCCCGCAACGAGCGCAACCCUUGUCUUUAGUUACCAUCAUUCAGUUGGGGACUCUAAAGAUACUGCCCCGGUCAACGGGGAGGAAGGUGGGGAUGACGUCAAGUCCUCAUGGCCUUUAUGUCCAGUGCUACACACGUGCUACAAUGGGCUGUACAAAGGGUCGCGAACCCGCGAGGGUAAGCCAAUCCCAAAAAGCAGUCCCAAGUUCGGAUUGGAGUC